rnacentral:rRNA from 1 species
ACUCCUACGGGAGGCAGCAGUGGGGAAUAUUGGACAAUGGGCGCAAGCCUGAUCCAGCCAUGCCGCGUGAGUGAUGAAGGCCCUAGGGUUGUAAAGCUCUUUCACCGGUGAAGAUAAUGACGGUAACCGGAGAAGAAGCCCCGGCUAACUUCGUGCCAGCAGCCGCGGUAAUACGCAGGGGGCUAGCGUUGUUCGGAUUUACUGGGCGUAAAGCGCACGUAGGCGGACUAUUAAGUCAGGGGUGAAAUCCCGGGGCUCAACCCCGGAACUGCCUUUGAUACUGGUAGUCUUGAGUUCGAGAGAGGUGAGUGGAAUUCCGAGUGUAGAGGUGAAAUUCGUAGAUAUUCGGAGGAACACCAGUGGCGAAGGCGGCUCACUGGCUCGAUACUGACGCUGGGGUGCGAAAGCGUGGGGAGCAAACAGGAUUAGAUACCCUAGUAGUCCCAUG